UUGGCGGCGUGCCUAAUGCAUGCAAGUCGAACGGAUGCUUUUCGCAAGAGAAGCAUUAGUGGCAAACGGGUGAGUAACACGUGGGGAUCUGCCCAGUAGUGGGGAACAACUCCUCGAAAGAGGAGCUAAUACCGCAUAUGCUCGAAAGAGUAAAGCCUUCGCAAGAGGGCGCUAUUGGAGGAACCUGCGGCUGAUUAGCUAGUUGGUGGGGUAAAGGCCUACCAAGGCGACGAUCAGUAGCUGGUCUGAGAGGAUGGUCAGCCACACUGGGACUGAGAUACGGCCCAGACUCCUACGGGAGGCAGCAGUCGAGAGGCUUCGGCAAUGGGGGCAACCCUGACCGAGCGACGCCGCGUGGAGGAUGAAGGCCUUUGGGUUGUAAACUCCUUUCGUGGGGGAAGAAUGUGCCCGGGGUGAAUAAUCCCGAGUAUUGACGGUACCCCAAGAAGAAGCUCCGGCUAACUCCGUGCCAGCAGCCGCGGUAGCCCA
rnacentral:rRNA from 1 species